GAUGAAGAACGUAGUGAAAUGCGAUAAGUAAUGUGAAUUGCAGAAUUCAGUGAAUCAUCGAAUCUUUGAACGCACAUUACGCCCGCCAGUAUUCUGGCGGGCAUGCCUGUCCGAGCGUCAUUUCAACCCUCGAACCCCUCCGGGGGGUCGGCGUUGGGGAUCGGCACUUACCUGCCGGCCCCGAAAUACAGUGGCGGUCUCGCCGCAGCCUCUCCUGCGCAGUAGUUUGCACACUCGCACCGGGAGCGCGGCGCGUCCACGGCCGUAAAACAACCCAAACUUCUGAAAUGUUGACCUCGGAUCAGGUAGGAAUACCCGCUGAACUUAAGCAUAUCAAUAAGCGGAGGA
rnacentral:misc_RNA from 1 species